UCUUCUUCUUUAUUUUUCCGUUUUCCUCUGUAAGUUCUCCCUUUUUGUUGUUUUGUUUCCUCUUCUUAUGUUUUGGGCUGUAAGUUCCUCUUCUUCAAUGGAUUUUAGAGAGAGGGAGUUGCGAGAGGUAAGAAAAUUGUGGUGCACAGAGAGAGGGAGUCGAAGCGGCGAGAAAGUUCUGGGUAUCUGUUUGCAAUUUCUUCCCAGGAAACGAUUUCACUCCGCCUAGACCGUCCUAACAGCUGCCCGAUUUUUCUUAACGAUUCGGAUCACACCCACGCCUAGCGCCUAGGCGGCCGCCUAGGCGGCCGCCUAGGCCGAUUUUUAGAACAUUGCCUAUAAAUAUUCAUGAAAACCGUCUUCUAAACUAACAACUCAAAGCCUUCCAAGUACUUUGGUUGUCUGAAGUUCUAAACCCCAUAACCUAAAAAUCUUCCCCAGAUCUUCGCGUGUGUUCAAAGAUGCCUACUAAUUCAGCAGCAGGAUGCGCCGCUCAUGGUCCCUGUAACGUGAAAGCUCCGCCAUCAGCCGGCUACCCAACAAGAGAUGUACCCCAAAAGGCGGUUCCGGUAGAAACCAAAUCGAAGGAUGAUGGCUUCUGGAAGCGCUGCUGUGCUGCCCUCUGUUGCUGUUGCAUGCUGGAUGCAUGUUUUUGAAGAUGUGAUAUUGUUGACGUAGAUUUGGACGGUGUCUGAUUGUCCAGUUUCUCAUCCUUGUAUAAUAAUUUUAGCUAUCCGGCUACCCUUUUUAUUUAUUUGUUUAUACUUU